GGAAGGGCCAUAGCUCAGAGUUAGAGCAUCUGCCUUGGGUACAGAAGGUUCCAGGUUUAAUUUCUGGCGUCUCCA